rnacentral:rRNA from 1 species
UACGUAGGGUGCGAGCGUUAAUCGGAAUUACUGGGCGUAAAGCGUGCGCAGGCGGUUCGUUAAGUCAGAUGUGAAAGCCCCGGGCUCAACCUGGGAACUGCAUUUGAAACUGGCGGGCUUGAGUGUGGCAGAGGGGGUGGAAUUCCGCGUGUAGCAGUGAAAUGCGUAGAGAUGCGGAGGAACACCGAUGGCGAAGGCAGCCCCCUGGGCCAAUACUGACGCUCAGGCACGAAAGCGUGGGGAGCAAACAGG